GAGAAUGUGUGUGUAUGUAUUGUUGUUGUUUAGAUGGUGGUGUUGAAGAUAAAAGAAGAUGGUGGUGAUGCGGUUUAGGAAAGGAUAAGAAUGAGUGAGGUAGAGGGAUGAAGAAGGUACGAAGAAGAAAAGAUGAUGGUGAUGACGUUGUGUGGGUAAGGAAGAGGUGAUGGUUGAUGUGUGAUGAUGGAGAAGAAAGAAA
rnacentral:lncRNA from 1 species